GCUGGGCGUUUUAAGUGCCGCGAGGCACCUCUAGGUUACGGGGAGAAUCUGAGGAACAGUCCAGAAUCCAUGAAUAGAAACUAAGAGGGAACGGGACUCAGCGACAGGAAAUAUUUAUUGAGCACUAGCCAUGUGCCAGGCACUCGACUGGGGUGUGGCUAUGAACAAGGCAAGAAUGGUGCCUGUGAGAUGUGGGGCCAGGAGAUUCCUCCCCUGAAAGAGCGCAAGCUCUGCAUUCAGAGGGAACCCGAGUGGCGCGGAGAUGAGCGAGCAAGUAUGCAAAUAUGUAAGAGACACCAGACAGUUCCAUACCACAAGCACCAGAUAGGAGCAAAGAGACCAGCUACGCCAGGAUGUAACCAGCACCCAGCGUUCUCAGUGCAGGGUUGUCACCUGGAAAGGAGAAUUUCUAUUCUGCCUCAGGAGAACAGAGAACAGAUUGAGCCUUUCUUCUGCUUGCUGCUUCUCCAUCUCCUUUUGUUCAAGAGCAAACUUCAGAUCAAAGAUGAUACAUUUUGGUUUCUUCUGAGCCAAUUUGGGACUGAAAGUAAAAAGUAACCUAGAAUUGAAGUGGAGGGCCCUUGACAUGGCCCAGCAGGUAAAGGCACUCUUUGCCGAACCUGGCAACCCCAGUUCCAUCCCUGGGUCUCACACAGGGGAACGAGAGAACCAACUUCCAAUUGUCCUCCUCGACUAAAGUACAGAGGACAUGUGCACACACAAACACAGGGGCAGGCGGGAUAAAAUGUAAUAUAAAUAUUUUUGAAAGAAUUAAGAAAGUAGAGACAUAGCAUUCAAGCGUGAUGCUCAGAUGGUUUCAUGCUUAAGGGACCGUUAUCUGUGAAUGGUACUAGAAACACGCAUCUGAUAAGACGUACUUUUCUCUCUGCUUCUGGGGUACAGAUAAUGGAGCCUGCUGCUUAGCAAUGGGGAGGCUCUGAAGCAGAAAACGCCAGUCGUGUGGUGGCGGGGAGUCUUGAAAAGGAUCAUGUCUCAGCAGAAGCUCAUUGGUUCCCAAUCAUUAUUAUGAUGAAAUCCAUGUAACAUGAAAACCUCCAUCUUAUCUGCCUUUUUAUCACACUUAUUUAUGGGGGGUGUGCACACAUACUGUGGCGAGCACAUGGAGGCCAGGGAACAACUUGUGGUAAUCAGGUCCAUCAUGUGGAUUCUGUACAUGGAACUCAGGUCAUCAGACUGAGUCAUCUCACCAAUUCCUGACUUGAAAAAAAAAUAUUGAGAAAUAGACACACUAUGUAGCCCUGGCUGGCCUUAAACUCAUAGAGAUCUGCCUUUCUCUGCCUCCCAAGUGCUGGGGUUCAAGUCUAGUGCCACUAUACCCCAGCUCUGGCUAAAUUUGUUGGGUUGUUUUUUAUUUUAAUUUUUUGGGUAUGGGUGUUUUUUCGGCGUGUAUGUCUGUGCACCACGUGCAUACCUGAUACCCACAGAGGCCAGAAGAAAGCAUCGGAUCCCCUAGAAGUGUGUUACAGUUAGUAUAAACCUUAAUGUAAGAUUCGUUCAAAGGAGAAAAGCGUCAAAGUGACACCUCCCGGGCACCAGAUGGCGCUGUUCAGCUGCUGGGUCAUUCUCUGUCACCUGAGAGC